GACGAACGCUGGCGGCGUGCUUAACACAUGCAAGUCGAACGAUGACGACCGUGCUUGCACGGUCUGAUUAGUGGCGAACGGGUGAGUAACACGUGAGUAACCUGCCCCCCACUCUGGGAUAACCUCGGGAAAUCGGGGCUAAUACCGGAUAUGAGCUCCUGCCGCAUGGUGGGUGCUGGAAAGUUUUUCGGUGGGGGAUGGACUCGCGGCCUAUCAGUUUGUUGGUGAGGUAAUGGCUCACCAAGGCGAUGACGGGUAGCCGGCCUGAGAGGGCGACCGGCCACGCUGGGACUGAGACACGGCCCAGACUCCUACGGGAGGCAGCAGUGGGGAAUAUUGCACAGUGGGGGAAACCCUGAUGCAGCCAUGCCGCGUGUGUGAAGAAGGCCUUAGGGUUGUAAAGCACUUUCAGUGGGGAGGAAAGGGUGAAAGCUAAUACCAUACGAGGAAGCCCCGGCAAACUACGUGCCAGCCGCCGCAGUAC
rnacentral:rRNA from 1 species